rnacentral:rRNA from 1 species
CACGGGUGAGUAACACGUAUCCAACCUGCCGUCUACUCUUGGACAGCCUUCUGAAAGGAAGAUUAAUACAAGAUGGCAUCAUGAGUCCGCAUGUUCACAUGAUUAAAGGUAUUCCGGUAGACGAUGGGGAUGCGUUCCAUUAGGUAGUAGGCGGGGUAACGGCCCACCUAGUCUUCGAUGGAUAGGAGUUCUGAGAGGAAGGUCCCCCACAUUGGAACUGAGACACGGUCCAA